GACUCGAUACUUUAAUAUAAAAGACCUGACUUGCACUUAGAAAAUAAGUUUACAAACUUUCGGGCC
rnacentral:tRNA from 2 species